UUAGCAAGGAAUAAAGAAUUUGUAGGAUUAAAAGUUUCCUUUUGCAUCAUGAUCAAAAGAAAAAGUCUUUUAUUAAGUUUACUUGAAAUAAACUAAUAUUUAAUAUUAUAGUUGAGAUCUUAAAGUUAAACAAGUAGUAUUCUUAAAAUAGUAUUAAAGAGGUGAGAAACUAAGCACAGUUUAUUAUAACCAGUUGAGGUUUAAUUAUUUAGUAUAACUACAAAAGUGAAAAUAUUUUUGUAGUAUCUAGAAUAUACAUGAGUUGUUGUUUAAAUAGGGAGAGUAGUCUCUAUUUUUAAUAAAGUGUGUUACAACUUUAAAACACGUUGAUGAUAUUUAGUAUUAGCUAACCUCAUAAAUUUAUAAUGCUUUUAUUUAUAAUUUUUGAAUUAGUAAUAAUAACAUUGUGUAUUUUUCUUGAAAAUACUCGGACUGUUUAUCAAAAACAUUGCGUCUUGUUUUAUUUAAGAGGUUAGUCCUGCUCAGUGUAAUUUUAUAAAUAGCCGCAUUAGCCUGAGUGUGCUAAGGUAGCAUAAUUACUAGCUCUUUAAUUGGGAGAUUGUUUGAAAGGAUUAACCAGGGUAUAAAGAAGAAUUACAAUAUAUUUGAAUUUACUAUGUUAGUACAGAAGCUAACAAAAAAAGUAUAGACGGAAAGACCCUAGGAGGUUUAAUGUUGAUCAUUUUUUUUUGGGCAAAAUAAAAUAAUUCAUUUUAGUUAAGAUCCUUAAGAAUAAGAAAACGAUAAAAGCUACCCUAGGGAUAACAGAGUAAGAAGCGAGGAGAGGUCAUAUUGAUUCGCUUAAUUGCUACCUCGAUGUUGACUUAAGAGAAGUUCGUUGGCGCAGAAGCUAUCGUUACAGGUCUGUUCGACCUUUAGAUUCUUUCAUGAGUUGAGUUAAGACCGAUGUAAAUCAGGUUGGUUCCUAUCUUAUGUUGCUUACCUUUAGUACGAAAGGAAUUAGGUGAGUUUAUUUU
rnacentral:rRNA from 1 species